UUGAAUUCUCAAAGAAUAACAUUAUAUAUAAAUAGUCAAUCGUUGUAAAUGUUGACAACACGAAACUAAAAUGUGAAAGAAUCGAAGAAACAAAAGCUAAUUCAACGUUUACUAUUACAACAAAACAACAUACUAUGAAAAAAGGCCAGAGAAUCCAAGGAUGAGAAAAGGUUACUUGUUAACAAGAAAGUCUUCUAAAUGCUUGCCUUUUGGUACUCAUCUUUGUGUUGCUUUUCCUUCUCCUGUUUCUGCUCAAGAACUAUACAUGCUUUUGGCCCAGCUUUUCAUCAAGACAAGAGGAGCCAAGGAUGUGUCCUGUAUAAGAGUUCUGUAACAGCAAAAGAGACUACUUGCCUGUGGAAAAAAUAUAAACACAUAUAUAUAUAAGGAGGAAAAGAUGAAGAAGAUGAAUCUUGAAUGUAUUCUCAUUUGCUCCGUUUCUUGGCUUCGCUGUAGAAGAUAACUCCACAGACGGUGAGGGCAUAACCAAGCAUUCCAGUCACUGACACCGGAUUCUUGAAUAUUAGAAUAGAGAUCACAACGGCUACUGCUCCUUUCGCGUUUCCUAGCACCUAUCACAGAUCAAAUCCACCUCAACAUCCAAGACAGUUAUAAGCUUUACUUGGACUGACUCUGUUCCAACCACAAUCCAAUACCAUCUUUUUCUAGCUAUUAAACAAGAAUGCCAUUAAGAAUUGUAAUGUUUUACCUGCAGAGUCAGCUCGCAUGGUAGGCACGUGUCUCCGUCACGCCAUAAGCUUACGCGUGGAGUUUGAGUCGGCCACGCUUUUCCCUAGGGCUUUCUUUUGUUGGGCCGUUUGGGCCUCCUGUUUAUUUUACCUUUUCUUGCCCGGUUGGGCCUUUGUUUUGUGACUUGGGCUUUUAAUAAAGUUGGAAUCUUUCCAGUGAAAAAAAAAAAAACUCUCUCGUCUCCCGUCUCGUUUAGCUCUUUCUUCUGCAACAGUUAUUACUUCCAAUUCUGAUUCUCAGCUCUCUGUCAAUAUAGCUAGUACAUCUCUGUGUUGUUAACAAACCAGUGAUCCUGUGUACAACAUAUUGAAUUCUCAAAGAAUAACAUUAUAUAUAAAUAGUCAAUCGUUGUAAAUGUUGACAACACGAAACUAAAAUGUGAAAGAAUCGAAGAAACAAAAGCUAAUUCAACGUUUACUAUUACAACAAAACAACAUACUAUGAAAAAAGGCCAGAGAAUCCAAGGAUGAGAAAAGGUUACUUGUUAACAAGAAAGUCUUCUAAAUGCUUGCCUUUUGGUACUCAUCUUUGUGUUGCUUUUCCUUCUCCUGUUUCUGCUCAAGAACUAUACAUGCUUUUGGCCCAGCUUUUCAUCAAGACA
rnacentral:lncRNA from 1 species